rnacentral:lncRNA from 1 species
AAUAUACGGUCACCAAUCUAACAAGUUCAUGUUUGUGUCAAUUCCUUUAUUCCAGUCAUGAUUUUUGUACCAAUGUGUUUCACGAUUCUCACGCUUUUGGGUUUCAUUCACAGUCGAAAUUUCUUGACACAUAGUUAUUGUAUAAAUAAAAUAAUCCAAGGUGUUCUAAUCACAAACAUUUGUGACAUACGGUGAUUUGCGUUCUUGGACACAGGGUAUUACUCGUAACCCGAA